rnacentral:rRNA from 1 species
UACACGUGGGCAAUCUGCCCUGCACUCUGGGACAAGCCCUGGAAACGGGGUCUAAUACCGGAUACUGAUCCUCGCAGGCAUCUGCGAGGUUCGAAAGCUCCGGCGGUGCAGGAUGAGCCCGCGGCCUAUCAGCUAGUUGGUGAGGUAACGGCUCACCAAGGCGACGACGGGUAGCCGGCCUGAGAGGGCGACCGGCCACACUGGGACUGAGACACGGCCCAGACUCCUACGGGAGGCAGCAGUGGGGAAUAUUGCACAAUGGGCGAAAGCCUGAUGCAGCGACGCCGCGUGAGGGAUGACGGCCUUCGGGUUGUAAACCUCUUUCAGCAGGGAAGAAGCGAAAGUGACGGUACCUGCAGAAGAAGCGCCGGCUAACUACGUGCCAGCAGCC